UACGGGGGGGGCAAGCGUUGUUCGGAAUUACUGGGCGUAAAGGGCUCGUAGGCGGCCAACUAAGUCAGACGUGAAAUCCCUCGGCUUAACCGGGGAACUGCGUCCGAUACUGGAUGGCUUGAGUUUGGGAGAGGGAUGCGGAAUUCCAGGUGUAGCGGUGAAAUGCGUAGAUAUCGGGAGGAACACCUGUGGCGAAGGCGGCCCCCUGGGCCGGCCCUGACACUGAGACGCGAAGGCGUGGGGAGCGAACGGG
rnacentral:rRNA from 1 species